rnacentral:rRNA from 1 species
UGCAAGUAGAACGCUGAAGAGAGGAGCUUGCUCUUCUUGGAUGAGUUGCGAACGGGUGAGUAACGCGUAGGUAACCUGCCUUGUAGCGGGGGAUAACUAUUGGAAACGAUAGCUAAUACCGCAUAACAAUGGAUGACACAUGUCAUUUAUUUGAAAGGGGCAAUUGCUCCACUACAAGAUGGACCUGCGUUGUAUUAGCUAGUAGGUGAGGUAACGGCUCACCUAGGCGACGAUACAUAGCCGACCUGAGAGGGUGAUCGGCCACACUGGGACUGAGACACGGCCCAGACUCCUACGGGAGGCAGCAGUAGGGAAUCUUCGGCAAUGGGGGCAACCCUGACCGAGCAACGCCGCGUGAGUGAAGAAGGUUUUCGGAUCGUAAAGCUCUGUUGUAAGUCAAGAACGAGUGUGAGAGUGGAAAGUUCACACUGUGACGGUAGCUUACCAGAAAGGGACGGCUAACUACGUGCCAGCAGCCGCGGUAAUACGUAGGUCCCGAGCGUUGUCCGGAUUUAUUGGGCGUAAAGCGAGCGCAGGCGGUUUGAUAAGUCUGAAGUUAAAGGCUGUGGCUCAACCAUAGUUCGCUUUGGAAACUGUCAAACUUGAGUGCAGAAGGGGAGAGUGGAAUUCCAUGUGUAGCGGUGAAAUGCGUAGAUAUAUGGAGGAACACCGGUGGCGAAAGCGGCUCUCUGGUCUGUAACUGACGCUGAGGCUCGAAAGCGUGGGGAGCGAACAGGAUUAGAUACCCUGGUAGUCCACGCCGUAAACGAUGAGUGCUAGGUGUUGGAUCCUUUCCGGGAUUCAGUGCCGCAGCUAACGCAUUAAGCACUCCGCCUGGGGAGUACGACCGCAAGGUUGAAACUCAAAGGAAUUGACGGGGGCCCGCACAAGCGGUGGAGCAUGUGGUUUAAUUCGAAGCAACGCGAAGAACCUUACCAGGUCUUGACAUCCCGAUGCUAUUUCUAGAGAUAGAAAGUUACUUCGGUACAUCGGUGACAGGUGGUGCAUGGUUGUCGUCAGCUCGUGUCGUGAGAUGUUGGGUUAAGUCCCGCAACGAGCGCAACCCCUAUUGUUAGUUGCCAUCAUUCAGUUGGGCACUCUAGCGAGACUGCCGGUAAUAAACCGGAGGAAGGUGGGGAUGACGUCAAAUCAUCAUGCCCCUUAUGACCUGGGCUACACACGUGCUACAAUGGUUGGUACAACGAGUUGCGAGUCGGUGACGGCAAGCUAAUCUCUUAAAGCCAAUCUCAGUUCGGAUUGUAGGCUGCAACUCGCCUACAUGAAGUCGGAAUCGCUAGUAAUCGCGGAUCAGCACGCCGCGGUGAAUACGUUCCCGGGCCUUGUACACACCGCCCGUCACACCACGAGAGUUUGUAACACCCGAAGUCGGUGAGGUAACCUUUUGGAGCCAGCCGCC